rnacentral:rRNA from 1 species
ACGGGAGGCAGCAGUGGGGGGUAUUGCGCAAUGGGGGAAACCCUGACGCAGCAACGCCGCGUGAAGGAGGAAGGCCUUCGGGUUGUAAACUUUUGUUGCAAGGGAAGAAGACAGUGACGGUACCUUGUGAGGAAGCCACGGCUAACUACGUGCCAGCAGCCGCGGUAAUACGUAGGUGGCGAGCGUUGUCCGGAUUUACUGGGUGUAAAGGGCGCGUAGGCGGGGCAGCAAGUCAGUCGUGAAAUACCGAGGCUUAACUUCGGGGCUGCGGUUGAAACUGUUGUUCUUGAGUGUCGGAGAGGAAAGCGGAAUUCCUAGUGUAGCGGUGAAAUGCGUAGAUAUUAGGAGGAACACCGGUGGCGAAGGCGGCUUUCUGGACGAUAACUGACGCUGAGGCGCGAAAGUGUGGGGAGCAAACAGGAUUAGAUACCCUGGUA